ACUCAAAUGAAUAGACGGGGACCCGCACAAGCAGUGGAGGAUGUGGUUUAAUUCGACGGUACGCGAAGAACCUUACCCACACUUGACAUCCUGAGAAGGCGCUAGAGAUAGUGCCGUGCCCGUAAGGGAGCUCAGUGACAGGUGUUGCAUGGCCGUCGUCAGCUCGUGUCGUGAGAUGUUGGGUUAAGUCCCGCAACGAGCGCAACCCUUAUUGUAUGUUGUAAUUUUCAUGCGAUACUGCCGGUGACAAAUCGGAGGAAGGUGGGGAUGAAGUCAGGUCAGCAUGGCCCUUACGUGUGGGGCUACACACGUCCUACAAUGGCUGGUACAACGGGUCGCUAAAUCGCAAGAUGGAGCUAAUCCCACCAAAACCAGUCCCAGUUCGGAUAGCAGGCUGAAACUCGCCUGCUUGAAGUCGGAAUUGCUAGUAACCGCAGGUCAGCAUACUGCGGUGAAUACGUUCUCGGGUCUUGCACACACCGCCCGU
rnacentral:rRNA from 1 species